rnacentral:rRNA from 1 species
UAUGCUGGUGACAAGGUUGAUCGCAAGUCUACAUCAGGCACAUGUCACUUUCUGGGACGAUCACUUGUAUGUUGGUCUUCAAAGAAGCAGAAUUGUGUAUCUCUUUCCACUGCUGAAUCUGAAUACAUUGCUGCUGGAUCUUGCUGCGCUCGGCUUCUGUGGAUGAAGCAAACACUCAAGGACUAUGGCAUUCAUCUGAAGCAGGUGCCACUCUACUGCGACAACGAAAGCGCCAUCAAGAUUGCCAACAACCCAGUUCAGCACUCGAAGACAAAGCACAUUGAAAUUCGUCAUCACUUUUUCAGAGAUCAUGUUGUGAAGGAAGACAUUGAUAUCAUACACGUU